rnacentral:lncRNA from 1 species
UAGAUGGAUUUCAUAUGUUUUGUUUGGCAUGCAGGCAAUCGGCCUCUUCUUAAAGCACGACAUUGACAACUGUGGACAUGUAGGUCUCCUAAUGAACUCUCGACACAAUUGAUUUCAUGAGUUGGCAACAAAAAAUAACAAAAUGCUUCAUUAGCUUACCUGGCUUGAUUGGCAUGAUGCAGUUGGGAGGCUUGCUUGGGGGAGCGGCUGUCGAAUGGUUUGUUGGUCCACAUUGGAAGAAGCAUGUUGGGCCGUAUGGACGGGAGGCAUUCCAAGACAGGGCACCACUUGUUUCGCUCACGGACAGUUAGAAGACCAUAUUUACUUCUUGGCUUGUACAUUGAAUCAACAUGCCCAUAUACAAAUACAGACAUUAAUUAAGCAAAGUGCAAAGUACAAACAUCUCCCAGUAGAACUUUCGCAUUUCUCCAGUCUCCAGAAUCUAGCUAGCCUUCCACACUUGCAUUGGAGCUUGUUGUACUAGUGUUUAGGUGCAGUUGCGGCCGUUUUUUUGUUAACCAAUACUACAAAGUCACAUGCAAUUGUUGUAUUUACCUUGUUUAUUAAAAGUAUAACUAAU